UUCAACUUUUCCUUCUUCCUGCCAGUUCUGUCCUUUUCACAACAGCUUUUUUUCUUAACCAUUUCAGAGUCUUGAGAAAUGCCCAGCAUGAGUUGGUCAUUCCUGCUGGCUAACCUGUUAACAAGAUCUCCUGCGUUUUGGGGAAAAAACUUCAGCAGACAAUCUGGAAAUUACCUGAAGUUCUGUGGGUCUCUGACACGUGAUUGCAAUCAAGAAGACUAAAUUGGAAAAAGGUGACCUUGCCUUUACUAGCCUGCCUAGCCUGAACCUCCCCGUACAGAUUGCCACUCCGCAUCCCCUCUUC